rnacentral:rRNA from 1 species
AUUGAACGCUAGCGGGAUGCUUUACACAUGCAAGUCGAACGGAGUGGCGGACGGGUGAGAAAGAUAUCGGAACGUGAGCAGUAGAGGGGGAUGAGUAAUCGAAAGAGAGGCCAAAAACGCAUUCUAUUGGAGCGACCGGUAUCGGAAUAGCUAGUUGGGGGGGUAAAGGCUCACCAAGGCAACGAUCCGUAGCUGGUUUGAGAGGAGGACCAGCAACACUGGGACUGAGACACGGCCCAGACUCCUACGGGAGGCAGCAGUGGGGAAUUUUUGACAAUGGGGGAAACCCUGAUCCAGCCAUCCCGCGUGUGUGAUGAAGGCCUUCGGGUUGUAAAGUACUUUUGGCAGGAAAGCGGUAUCUGCAGAAUAAGCACCGGCUAACUACGUGCCAGCAGCCGCGGUAAUAC